GUCCACGCCGUAAACGAUGUCAACUAGCCGUUGGGGGCGUUGUCCCUUCCAGUGGCGGAGCUAACGCGAUAAGUUGACCGCCUGGGGAGGUACGGCCGCAAGGUUAAAACUACAAAUGAAUUGACGGGGGCCCGGCACAAGCGGUGGAGUAUGUGGUUUAAUUCGACGCAACGCGAAAAACCUUAACCCGGUCUUGACAUCCUGGGAACUCGCUAGAGAUAGCUUGGUGCCGCAAGGAGCCCAGAGACAGGUGCUGCAUGGCUGUCGU
rnacentral:rRNA from 1 species